GGCCAGUUAGCUCAGUCAGUUGAGCGUGGCGCUAACAAAGCCAAGGUCGCCGGUUCGAUUCUUGUUCGGUCCU
rfam:Apaloderma vittatum contig12399, whole genome shotgun sequence.